rnacentral:tRNA from 1 species
GACCACGUAGCUCAGUUGGCAGACCAUUGGACUACUAUCCCAAAGGUCGCGGGUUCGAUUCCCACCGUGGUCA